ACCUGGUUGGCUCGGUCGGUAGAGCACAUGACUCUUGAUCUCAGGGUUGUGGGUUCAAGUCCCACACUGGAGG
rnacentral:tRNA from 1 species